CCUACGGGUGGCAGCAGUGAGGAAUAUUGGUCAAUGGGCUUACGCCUGAACCAGCCAAGUCGCGUGAGGGAAGACUGCCCUAUGGGUUGUAAACCUCUUUUGUCAGGGAGCCAUUGGCUCUCCGUGUAGCGUUAUCGAGAGUACCUGAAGAACAAGCAUCGGCGACCUCCGUGCCAGCAGCCGCGGUAAUACGGAGGUUGCGUGCGUUCUACGGAUUUAUUGGGUUUACAGGGUGCGUAGGCGGAAUGCAAAGUCAGCGGUAAAAUCGCGGGGCUCACCCUCGCUCCGCCUUUGAUACUGGCGUGCUUGAGUAGGGGAGAGGGAGGCGGAAUGCGAGGUGUAGCGGUGAAAUGCAGAGAUAUCACGCAGAAUUCCGAUUGCGAAGGCAGCAUACCGGCGCCCAACUGACGCUGAAGCACGAAAGCGUGGGUAGCGAACAGGAUUAGAUACCCGUGUAGUC
rnacentral:rRNA from 1 species